rnacentral:rRNA from 1 species
UACGUAGGUCUCGAGCGUUGUCCGGAUUUAUUGGGCGUAAAGCGAGCGCAGGUGGUUUAUUAAGUCUGGUGUAAAAGGCAGUGGCUCAACCAUUGUAUGCAUUGGAAACUGGUAGACUUGAGUGCAGGAGAGGAGAGUGGAAUUCCAUGUGUAGCGGUGAAAUGCGUAGAUGUAUGGAGGAACACCGGUGGCGAAAGCGGCUCUCUGGCCUGUAACUGACACUGAGGCUCGAAAGCGUGGGGAGCAAACAGG